UCCUGCGUGCUCUGGGAAGAUGUCCCUGGU
rnacentral:piRNA from 1 species